GGGGUUUUGGCUCAGGUGAGAAAGGUGGAAACACACACGUACUUACAUGUCUCUGUGGGUGUGCGGAGAAGGGGGUGCACAGUGGGGACAGCACGUGAGGCUGCCAGCCUAGGUCAGAGGAACAGGUGAGGGCCUUGACCAGUGACUGACUGAUGGGGGACAAACUUGGGAAGGAGCUCUAUUCACAGCACCCGACAUGCUGCUAGGAGGACCUCGUGGGACUGCUGGAGCCCAUCAACACCCGCAUCACUGACCCCCAGUACUUCCUGGACACGCCCCAGCAGGCGGCAGCCAUCUUACAGAAGGUAGGAAGACCCAACCUCCAAUUACAAAUGGUAAGUGGAAGGGGGUACUUCGCAGAUCGGAAGGAGGGCGGGGCCUGCGGGGUCUCGGAAUGUAGUAUCCUCUUCCCUAGGACAUAUUCCACUGGCAGAUCAUGGAUGGGAACCUGACAGGAAACAUCCGG
rnacentral:sRNA from 1 species